GCAGAGGAGGAACAGAGACGAUCAGCAUGGAGAAUCACCUUACUGUAUUUACUGAAGUUGGUCUUCAGAAAAUGCUCGAUGACAGCGGGGUCAGAGGUGAGAUCUCACUGUGCCCGGGAUAGACCAGCCUGCUGGUGGGAUGCAGAAGCGCAUAUGACACUUGUUCAUCAAAGAGCUUGUCAAAGUUCUUCAGUUGACGAAGCACAGUCCCAAUGAGCGGUGGCCUGUCUUGGGCUCUCUGGGCGAACUCUCUGGUGCAGAAGACUGCGAAGGACACAACAACGCCAAGGAUGUAGAGGGUGAUUACCAGGAAGGCUAUGGCUAAAACUGAAACUAAGCAGAUCCCCAUGGACACAGCAACAGAGGAGAGCUGGGAAGCCAUUAGAGGUGCCUGCUGCUGCUUGCUGAAUGAUGAAGUAUCUAAUCGGGAAGACCAAGAUAGUGGAGAAGAAUCAAGUCCACCCUUGAGAACGAAUAAUCAUUGGCAACUGUGUUGAAGAUUCAGCUUUUGGUUCAACAAAACUAAGUAUCCAAAAUAGUGAUAUGUGUCACUGACUCACUGGCAUGUGGUCUUAGGACUUAAACUCACGUAUAUAAUAGUAUUCUUUAUAUACAUCCUUGCUAUGUUUCUAAAGGCAGCUUGGUGCACGUAGCUCCCGCUUGCGCAGGGUCUGCGACCACUUUGGGUCUUUUGUGUGCAGCCUUUCACUACAUUUCUGCAAGAGGUUGUAGGACUUGAACCUGUGACCUCAUGGUCACAAGGCAACAGUUUUACCGCUGUGCCAAGGCUCCCCUUCACAUCCUUGCUAUGUUUGAGAGAGGAAAAUGCACAGCAUUGUUGUGUUGUGUCUUUGGAAUGUACUUACUUGGAUGCUAAGUACCAGCAAGCUGAAGAAGUCAGAAGGAGCAGUGACAUAGCUGAUUGCGUUAGCAUGAGUUCAGCAAACUGGAUGAUGGCCACUAAAUUAUAUCUCAAUUGGAUUGGCAGUCAAGGACUUGCAACCUUGACAGCAAUAUCUACAUGAUGACAUAGCAGUUAGAUCUAUCUGUUUGUACUUUUAUGUAUGUUAUUGGUAUGGGGAACAGUCCAGGUUUAUUACUUCUGAUACGAUCACUGACACAUACAUUUUGAUGCAUUGAGAACUAAAUACUAUGAAUGAAGACUCCAUUGGAGAGCCAUGGUGCAUGUAGGUUUUAUUUUUCUUAUUAAAAA